rnacentral:rRNA from 1 species
CCUACGGGAGGCAGCAGCAAGGAAUUUUCGGCAAUGGGGGGCAACCCUGACCGAGCAACGCCGCGUGCAGGAUGACGGCCUUCGGGUUGUAAACUGCUUUUGGGGGGGAUGAUGAUGACAGUACCCCCCGAAUAAGCCCCGGCUAACUCUGUGCCAGCAGCCGCGGUAAGACAGAGGGGGCAAGCGUUGUCCGGACUUACUGGGCGUAAAGCGUCCGCAGGCGGUACGGCAAGUAGCACGUGAAAGCGCCGGGCUUAACCCGGCGAGGCCGAGCUAAACUGUCGCACUCGAGGCGUGCAGAGGUCGGUGGAAUUGCCGGUGUAGUGGUGAAAUGCGUAGAGAUCGGCAGGAACACCAAUGGAGAAGUCAGCCGACUGGGCACGACCUGACGCUCAUGGACGACAGCGUGGGGAGCGAACUGGAUUAGAUACCCAGGUAGUCCACGCCGUAAACGAUGGAUGCUCGGCGUUUGGCGGCCGAUAAGGUCGCUGGGCGCCUCAGCUAACGCGUAAGCAUCCCGCCUGGGAACUACGAGCGCAAGCUUAAACUCAAAUGAAUUGACG